rnacentral:rRNA from 1 species
GAUGAACGCUGGCUACAGGCUUAACACAUGCAAGUCGAGGGGAAACGACGGGGAAGCUUGCUUCCCCGGGCGUCGACCGGCGCACGGGUGAGUAACGCGUAUCCAACCUGCCUCUGACUGAGGGAUAACCCGUCGAAAGUCGGCCUAAUACCUCAUGGCAUCGUCUGCGGGCAUCCAACGACGAUUAAAGAUUUCAUCGGUCAGGGAUGGGGAUGCGUCUGAUUAGCUUGUUGGCGGGGUAACGGCCCACCAAGGCUAUGAUCAGUAGGGGUUCUGAGAGGAAGGUCCCCCACAUUGGAACUGAGACACGGUCCAAACUCCUACGGGAGGCAGCAGUGAGGAAUAUUGGUCAAUGGGCGGGAGCCUGAACCAGCCAAGUAGCGUGCAGGAUGACGGCCCUAUGGGUUGUAAACUGCUUUUAUGCGGGGAUAAAGUGAGGGACGUGUCCUUCAUUGCAGGUACCGCAUGAAUAAGGACCGGCUAAUUCCGUG